UGCAAGUCGAACGGUAGCAGGAAGUGCUUGCACUUUGCUGACGAGUGGCGGACGGGUGAGUAAUGCUUGGGAACUUGCCUUUGCGAGGGGGAUAACAGUUGGAAACGACUGCUAAUACCGCAUAAUGUCUACGGACCAAACGGGGCUUAGGCUUCGGCGCAGAGAGAGGCCCAAGUGAGAUUAGCUAGUUGGUGGGGUAAAGGCUCACCAAGGCGACGAUCUCUAGCUGUUCUGAGAGGAAGAUCAGCCACACUGGGACUGAGACACGGCCCAGACUCCUACGGGAGGCAGCAGUGGGGAAUAUUGCACAAUGGGGGGAACCCUGAUGCAGCCAUGCCGCGUGUGUGAAGAAGGCCUUCGGGUUGUAAAGCACUUUCAGUUGUGAGGAAAAGUGAGUAGUUAAUACCUGCUCACCGUGACGUUAACAACAGAAGAAGCACCGGCUAACUCCGUGCCAGCAGCCGCGGUAAUACGGAGGGUGCGAGCGUUAAUCGGAAUUACUGGGCGUAAAGCGCACGCAGGCGGUUUGUUAAGCUAGAUGUGAAAGCCCCGAGCUCAACUUGGGAUGGUCAUUUAGAACUGGCAGACUAGAGUCUUGGAGAGGGGAGUGGAAUUCCAGGUGUAGCGGUGAAAUGCGUAGAUAUCUGGAGGAACAUCAGUGGCGAAGGCGACUCCCUGGCCAAAGACUGACGCUCAUGUGCGAAAGUGUGGGUAGCGAACAGGAUUAGAUACCCUGGUAGUCCACACCGUAAACGCUGUCUACUAGCUGUUUGUGGCUUUAAGCCGUGAGUAGCGAAGCUAACGCGAUAAGUAGACCGCCUGGGGAGUACGGCCGCAAGGUUAAAACUCAAAUGAAUUUGA
rnacentral:rRNA from 1 species